UAACCAUACAAUAAAUAUUUUAGGUAUGUUGCUACUAGGUUAUGUAAGUUGCAAUACAUCUUGUUCAUGUGGUAUAGUAUUAUAUUAGCACUUCUGACCUUGUAUGUUACUUGGAAACGAGCCAUAAAGACAAGGACUUUAUAUUUUUAGAAAACCUGACAAUAAGCUAAUCUAUAUCUAGAGAAUUGGGUUUGUUAACUACCU
rnacentral:lncRNA from 1 species